rnacentral:rRNA from 1 species
UAGGGAAUCUUCCACAAUGGACGCAAGUCUGAUGGAGCAACGCCGCGUGAGUGAAGAAGGUCUUCGGAUACGUAAACUCUGUUGUUAGAGAAGAACACGAGUGAGAGUAACUGUUCAUUUCGAUGACGGUAUCUAACCAGCAAGUCACGGCUAACUACGUGCCAA